rnacentral:lncRNA from 1 species
UCCACUUGCUCAAGGAAACUUUGACUGCACUUGCUCACUGUUCCAGCCAUCAUUUCUCUGUUUAUUGAUGUCCGUGCUCUCUCUUUCAAAGUAAUUGAAUGCAACGGUGUGCACAACCUUUCUCAUGAGACGUAACCUUACACCAACAACUAAUUCCCAUCUAAUCACUUAGAUACUUCUUUCCACAAAACUACCUUGCAACCAUCCAGCUGCUCUUGGCACGG